rnacentral:rRNA from 1 species
AGAGUUUGAUCAUGGNUCAGGACGAACGCUGGCGGCGUGCUUAACACAUGCAAGUCGAGCGGUAAGGCCCUUUCGGGGGUACACGAGCGGCGAACGGGUGAGUAACACGUGGGUAACCUGCCCUCAGCUCUGGGAUAAGCCCGGGAAACUGGGUCUAAUACCGGAUAUGACUCCGCAUCGCAUGGUGUAGGGGUGGAAAGCCUUGUAGCGGCUGAGGAUGGACCCGCGGCCUAUCAGCUUGUUGGUGGGGUAGUAGGCCAUACCAAGGCGACAGACGGGUAGCCAGGCACUGAGAGGGCGACCGGCCACACUGGGACUGAGACACGGCNCCAGACUACCNUACGGGAGAGCAGCAGUAGGGGAAUAUAUGCGCAAUNGGGCGAAAGNCUAGACGCANGCGACAGNCA